GACGAACGCUGGCGGCAUGCCUAAUACAUGCAAGUCGAGCGGAGUUGAUGGAAAGCUUGCUUUCCUGAUACUUAGCGGCGGACGGGUGAGUAACACGUAGGCAACCUGCCCUCAAGCUUGGGACAACUACCGGAAACGGUAGCUAAUACCGAAUACUUGUUUUCUUCGCCUGAAGAGAACUGGAAAGACGGAGCAAUCUGUCACCUGGGGAUGGGCCUGCGGCGCAUUAGCUAGUUGGUGAGGUAAUGGCUCACCAAGGCGACGAUGCGUAGCCGACCUGAGAGGGUGAUCGGCCACACUGGGACUGAGACACGGCCCAGACUCCUACGGGAGGCAGCAGUAGGGAAUCUUCCGCAAUGGGCGAAAGCCUGACGGAGCAAUGCCGCGUGAGUGAUGAAGGUUUUCGGAUCGUAAAGCUCUGUUGCCAGGGAAGAACGCUUCGGAGAGUAACUGCUCCCAAGGUGACGGUACCUGAGAAGAAAGCCCCGGCUAACUACGUGCCAGCAGCCGCGGUAA
rnacentral:rRNA from 1 species